rnacentral:rRNA from 1 species
CAGUCGAGCGAGCUUGCCUAGAUGAUUUUAGUGCUUGCACUAAAUGAAACUAGAUACAAGCGAGCGGCGGACGGGUGAGUAACACGUGGGUAACCUGCCCAAGAGACUGGGAUAACACCUGGAAACAGAUGCUAAUACCGGAUAACAACACUAGACGCAUGUCUAGAGUUUGAAAGAUGGUUCUGCUAUCACUCUUGGAUGGACCUGCGGUGCAUUAGCUAGUUGGUAAGGUAACGGCUUACCAAGGCAAUGAUGCAUAGCCGAGUUGAGAGACUGAUCGGCCACAUUGGGACUGAGACACGGCCCAAACUCCUACGGGAGGCAGCAGUAGGGAAUCUUCCACAAUGGACGAAAGUCUGAUGGAGCAACGCCGCGUGAGUGAAGAAGGGUUUCGGCUCGUAAAGCUCUGUUGGUAGUGAAGAAAGAUAGAGGUAGUAACUGGCCUUUAUUUGACGGUAAUUACUUAGAAAGUCACGGCUAACUACGUGCCAGCAGCCGCGGUAAUACGUAGGUGGCAAGCGUUGUCCGGAUUUAUUGGGCGUAAAGCGAGUGCAGGCGGUUCAAUAAGUCUGAUGUGAAAGCCUUCGGCUCAACCGGAGAAUUGCAUCAGAAACUGUUGAACUUGAGUGCAGAAGAGGAGAGUGGAACUCCAUGUGUAGCGGUGGAAUGCGUAGAUAUAUGGAAGA